GCGGUCGCGGCCCCCGGGGGCUUGCUCCCGGGUGGUAGGGGUAACACCCUCACGCGCCGCCUGCCUGUACCCUCUUUUUACGAGCACCUUUCGUUCUCCUUCGGCGGGGCAACCUGCCGCUGGAACCAAAACAAAACCUUUUUUGCAUCUAGCAUUACCUGUUCUGAUACAAAUAAUCGUUACAACUUUCAACAAUGGAUCUCUUGGCUCUGGCAUCGAUGAAGAACGCAGCGAAAUGCGAUAAGUAGUGUGAAUUGCAGAAUUCAGUGAAUCAUCGAAUCUUUGAACGCACAUUGCGCCCCUUGGUAUUCCAUGGGGCAUGCCUGUUCGAGCGUCAUCUACACCCUCAAGCUCUGCUUGGUGUUGGGCGUCUGUCCCGCCUCUGCGCGCGGACUCGCCCCAAAUUCAUUGGCAGCGGUCUUUGCCUCCUCUCGCGCAGCACAAUUGCGUCUGCGGGGGGGCGUGGCCCGCGUCCACGAAGCAACAUUACCGUCUUUGACCUCGGAUCAGGUAGGGAUACCCGCUGAACU
rnacentral:rRNA from 1 species